rnacentral:pre_miRNA from 1 species
UGUUGUUGACAGAAGAUAGAGAGCACAGAUGAUGAUGUGCAAUGACUUUUUCUGCAUCUCACUCCUUUGUGCUCUCUAUGCUUCUGUCAUCACCUUC